rnacentral:rRNA from 1 species
AUAAGCUCCGUCGUCGAAAGGGAAACAGCCCAGAUCGUCGUCUAAGGUCCCCAAGCGUGUGCUAAGUGGGAAAGGAUGUGGAGUCGCAUAGACAGCCAGGAGGUUGGCUCAGAAGCAGCCACCCUUGAAAGAGUGCGUAACAGCUCACUGGUCUAGUGGUUCCGCGCCGACAAUGUAGCGGGGCUCAAGCACACCACCGAAGACGCGGCAGUAGCUUUGCUACUGGGUAGGAGAGCGUCCCAUGCGGGGCGAAGCGGCGGCGCAAGCCCGCCGUGGACUGCAUGGGAGUGAGAAUGCAGACAUGAGUAGCGAAAGACGGGUGAAGAUCCCGUCCGCUGGACGACCAAGGGUUCCAGGGCCACGUUCAUCGUCCCUGGGUGAGUCGGGUCCUAAGGCGAGGCCGACAGGCGUAGUCGAAUGGAUGAACGGGUCGAUAUUCCCGUACCGGCAUGCAACCGACAAAACCGAAUCCGCGAGUACUAACCUCCGGGUCCGGGCUUACGUCUCCUUCGGGAGCCGGAUGCCCUGGCCUGUUGGGACCGUAACGGUAGUAGGUCAGCGCGGGAGUGACGCAGAAGGGUAGCCGGCCGCGGAGGUGGUCUUCCGUGGUCAAGCACGCAGCCCGUCCCACAGGCAAAUCCGUGGGGCGCGUGGGCGAGGUGCGAUGAUGGGCGCCGCAGGGCGCGAUAUCCGGUGAUCCCGGCUGCCGAGAAAAGCUUCGGCGUGAGGCGGCGUGCCGCCCGUACCCCAAACCGACACUGGUGGUCAGGUAGAGAAUACCAAAGCGAUCGAGCGAAUCCUGGUCAAGGAACUCGGCAAAUCACUCCCGUUCCUUCGGUUUAAGGGAGACCCCCGAUGGUGAAGCGGCUUGCCCGUGGAGCUUUUGGGGGUGGCACAGACCAGGGGGUAGCGACUGUUUACCAAAAACACAGGAGCGUGCGAAGGCGCAAGCCGCUGUAUACGCUCUGACGCCUGCCCGGUGCCGGAAGGUUAAGAGGAUCCGUCAGGCUUCGGCCGAAGCGGUGAAUUCAAGCCCCGGUAAACGGCGGUGGUAACUAUAACCAUCCUAAGGUAGCGAAAUUCCUUGUCGGGUAAGUUCCGACCUGCACGAAUGGCGUAACGACUUCCCCACUGUCUCGACCAGGAGCUCGGCGAAAUUGCAGUACGAGUAAAGAUGCUCGUUAAGCGCAGAAGGACGAAAAGACCCCGGGACCUUUACUAUACCUUGGUAUUGGCAUUCGGUGUGGAUUGUGUAGCAUAGGCGGAAGGCUUCGAAGCCACGGCGCCAGCCGCGGUGGAGCCGCAAGGUGAAAUACCGCUCUGUUCGCAUUGGAUGUCUAACCUCGACCAGUCAUCCUGGUCAGGGACAGUGCCUGGCGGGUAGUUUAACUGGGGCGGUUGCCUCCCAAAGAGUAACGGAGGCGCUCAAAGGUUCCCUCAGCCCGGUUGGCAAUCGGGUGGCGAGUGUAAGUGCACAAGGGAGCUUGACUGCGAGACUGACGGGUCGAGCAGGGACGAAAGUCGGAACUAGUGAUCCGGUGCCGGUGUACGGACGCGGCAUCGCUCAACGGAUAAAAGGUACCCCGGGGAUAACAGGCUGAU